CGAACNAGAUUCAUCGUCAGCGGCGCUGGCUUCGNGUCGGUGGGCGAUGUCCCGCGGAGUCCUCGCGGCUCGCGCGCGGGCACGCUACCGUNNGUCRAUGUCCGNCUGUCGUCGNCGUGCACUUCUCCCCAAGUAGAACGUCGCGACCCGCUGGGUGUCGGUCUACGGCCCGGGNGCNGNGACUGUCGCUCCGCCGUUAAACGGCNCGCGGACAAACCCUCGGUCGCCCGGCCGGCUGCUCGGCGGUACGCGCAAGGUAUCAGGCCGCACUUCUACACGGUGCGUCGAGGCCGUCGCAAGCGCGCGCCACGGUACUCGGAGGUUACGGACUUUGCGCCGUCCCCGGUCCUGGCCCGCUGUUGGUUAAAGUACGGAUCACCUUCGACAGGCCUGCGAACGUCUCUCUCACGGGGGACGGAUACCGGUCGGCGACGCGANUGCUUUNCUU
rnacentral:rRNA from 1 species